UACGGAGGAUCCGAGCGUUAUCCGGAUUUAUUGGGCUUAAAGGGUGCGCAGGCGGGAUGUUAAGUCGGCGGUGAAAUUUUGCAGCUCAACUGUAAAAAUGCCUUCGAUACUGGCUUCCUUGAGUGUGGAUGAAGUAGGCGGAAUUUGUGGUGUAGCGGUGAAAUGCUUAGAUAUCACGAGGAACUCCGAUUGCGCAGGCAGCUUACUAAACCACUACUGACGCUGAUGCACGAAAGCGUGGGGAUCAAACAGG
rnacentral:rRNA from 1 species